CAGUAGCCGCGGGAAUACGUAGGUCCCGAGCGUUGUCCGGAUUUAUUGGGCGUAAAGCGAGCGCAAGCGGUUAGAUAAGUCUGAAGUUAAAGGCUGUGGCUUAACCAUAGUACGCUUUGGAAACUGUUUAACUUGAGUGCAAGAGGGGAGAGUGGAAUUCCAUGUGUAGCGGUGAAAUGCGUAGAUAUAUGGAGGAACACCGGUGGCGAAAGCGGCUCUCUGGCUUGUAACUGACGCUGAGGCUCGAAAGCGUGGGGAGCAAACAGGAUUAGAUACCCGAGUAGUCCCUGUCUCUUAUACA
rnacentral:rRNA from 1 species